AAAGUGAUCUGCUUCACUCACACUCAGAAUCUACUCAUUGAACUGUAUUGUCAUCUAGAAAGUACCCUCACAGCAGCAUCUGGAGUGAUGUUUGACCAAAUAUCUGGGUGCAGUGGCCUAGUCAAGUUGAUAUAAAAUUAACCAUCCUGAUGUGGUACCGUGUCCUUUGCCUUCUAGAUGUUCUUAAUCAUCCUUUAUGAAACAUACAGAGGCAUAAAAAUCUCAAAGCAAUUUUUAUUGCUUAGAAAAAAGAAUCCUUCUUUGUUAAGACUGGGGUCAAGAGACUUGUGUUCCUGGUGUCUUAAUCACUUCAUUAGACCAAAGAAAAAUAGUGACUGAUUUUUUCAUAGUUUGAAAAACUAGGACUGAAUAGAUUUGUUUGGGUCUGAUUUUGUUGUUCCAGGUUAACUUACAAAUUCCCAAUUAUUGUGUUUCUAGAUUUAAAAGAAAAUGCAAAAUUUAAGAACAACCUUUCCAUAGAUCAGGUAAACAUUGUCCCAAGCCAAUCAAAUAUGCCAGCUACCUCUAACUGUGGAGAGAUGAUCACACAACUUUUGGUGUACAUCAGCACCAUGUUCUGUGUAAGAUGGGUCUCAGGGCUGGCGUGUAGCUCAGUGGUAGAGUGCUAUGCCUAGCUUGCAUGAGGCCCUGGGUUCAAUCCCCAGUACCGAUGUGUUUCAAUGGCAGGUUGUACAUCACACCAAAACUUGGCUUUUUGAUACAUUAGGUGUGCGUGGCUUAUGUUUCAGUAAAUGCAUGACCUUCUAUGAGUAUCUUCAUCCUGAGAAAGUGCAUGUGCCACCUGUCUUGUUCAAAGAUGUGCCCUUAGUAGGACCUGAUGUUCUCUUUGCUUUUCUUCCUUUUUCUAAUGGCACCUCUUUGGCCAAGCCUGCCUCAUAGCCCCUUCCUGAGCCUUGGCACUAGCACAGGUGCAGAAGUUUCCCAGGGAUUUCCCCACACAGGUGCAGUAGAGGAGCCACUCGGAGGUCAACCCUACCAACUGACUCAUUAGCCAUCUGAGCGAGUCCUCAUGCUCCCCCAUCAUGGUUACUGAGCAAGGUAGUCCUCUUCCAGAUGAGGAAACCUGAGGCAAAGGGGUUAAGUGACUUGCCCUGGGUCACUUGGGAAGUUCCUGCAACUAGAACAAUCACUUUCUGCUAUUCGGUCAAGUGCUUAAGUGCUGGCCUCCCUGAUUCCUUCUUCUAGCAUGCAUUUAAUCAAUAAAUCAAUUUCCUCUCCUCCUGUUCAUCCUAGUAGUGCAAGGAAGAAGGUCGCAUGAUGUGUGCAUAGACUGCUGUCCUCCACGUUCCAAGAUGAUGUUGGUGACAGUGAUUUGUUAUCACUCUGCUCCAGUGUGACAGGAAAGAUCAAUAAGCAGCCAAUAGCCCUUUCCAUGAUGGCCAAAGUACAAAACUGCCCCUGGACUCAGGUCUGCAGGCACUGUGUGCAAAGACUCGC
rnacentral:tRNA from 1 species